AUGUCCGGCAGGACAACUCCGACCUCAAUAAAAGGUCUCCAGGUGCCUCUGCUCCUCACACACCUUCAGCUCUCAGCAAGAACGGUCCUCGCUCCGGCCACCCUUCGCUCCUCUCCCAACACCAUGUGUUCCACUGGAUGCUGUUCCACGGGAUGCUGCUCUGUCGUGAAGAGCAAGACCGUGUGCUGCAGCCCCUGCAAGACCGUGUGCUGCAGCCCCUGCAAGCCCAUGUGCUGCAGCCCCUGCAAGACUGUGUGCUGCAGCCCCUGCAAGACCGUGUGCUGCAGCCCCUGCAAGACCGUGUGCUGCUCCCCAUGCCAGCAAUCUUGCCGCUGCGACCCGUGCCAGAAGACUGUGUGCUGUGACCCGUGCCAGACUUGCUGUGACCCAUGCCAGCCCUGCUGUGACCCGUGCCAGACCUGCUGUGACCCAUGCCAGAAGCCCUGCUGUGACCCGUGCCAGACCUGCUGUGACCCGUGCCAGAAGCCUUGCUGUGAUCCAUGCCAGACUGUNNNNNNNNNNUGUGACCCAUGCCAGACCUGCUGUGACCCGUGCCAGAAGCCUUGCUGCGACCCGUGCCAGACCUGCUGUAACCCGUGCCAGUCCGUGUGCUGCACCAAGGUGUGCCAGAAGACUGCGUGCUGUGUCCCACGGCCCUGCUGCAGCCCCUGCGGGUCCCUGUCCUGCUGCUCCUGCGUGGUCAAGAAGCCCAUGGUGGUUUGCUGCACCCCGAUGAGGAAGUGCUGCACCCCCUGCAUCCCCAUCCAGCAGUGCUGCGCCAGCCUCAGGAAGACCUGCUGAGCUGCCCCGGGUGGCUCUGAGGGCUCCAGGAAUGGGCACAAGGAGGGGAAAAGCUGCUCGUUUGUUUCUGGUUUUCACGGUGAUGGAGCCAAUUCAUAGCGAUUUUCUUCUUUCCAAGAUUAAGCUGCUGCUUCUUUCUGUCCUUUAGUUAUCCAUUGUCUUUAAUUAUUGACUGUCUUGAGUACUCCUGAAUUUAUCGCCCAUUGUAUAAGGCAUUAGAUCUUAGUGGGGUGUUAAUUCUCCUCUUGGUGUUUGGGAAACCUUUGGUGUCACUAUGACCACUCAUCAUUUCCUCUCUUGACUUGUAGACAAUAAAAUUUAGCAUUGAGCAAAACA
rnacentral:lncRNA from 1 species